rnacentral:misc_RNA from 1 species
GAUGAAGAACGUAGCGAAAUGCGAUAAGUAGUGUGAAUUGCAGAAUUCCGUGAAUCAUCGAAUCUUUGAACGCACAUUGCGCCUUCUGGUAUUCCGGAAGGCAUGCCUGUUCGAGAGUCAUUAACAACCGUUUCGAUCCCUUUCUUUCAGAAAUUACAAAGAGGAAAAGGGUUUGGUUAUGGUGGAGGAGGGAAAGGGAGCGUUUAGCCUGUAAAAAAAGAGGCUGUGUUCCGCCUCCCCCCCAAAAUUGUACAGGCGGUCGUGUGCGCCCACGCAUCGAGGUGUUGUAAAAGCUGCCACGGCACUUUUCACCUGUGCAGUGCGAGAUUGGCCAGCCGGUUUAAAAACCCCUCCAAACAAUCAAAGGUUGACCUCGGAUCAGGUAGGGAUACCCGCUGAACUUAAGCAUAUCAAUAAGCGGAGA